UACGAGGGGUGCAAGCGUUGCUCGGAAUUAUUGGGCGUAAAGGGUAGGUAGGUGGUCUCAUUUGUCAGGGGUGAAAGCCUUGGGCUUAACUCAAGAAGUGCCCCUGAAACGGUGAGACUCGAGUACUGGAGAGGGUCGUGGAAUUCCCGGUGUAGCGGUGAAAUGCGUAGAGAUCGGGAGGAACACCAGAGGCGAAGGCGGCGACCUGGACAGUUACUGACACCCAACUACGAAAGCGUGGGGAGCAAACAGG
rnacentral:rRNA from 1 species